UACGUAGGUGGCAAGCGUUUGUCCGGAUUUACUGGGCGUAAAGAGCGCGCAGGCGGUCGUUCAAGUCGCGUGUGAAAGCCCCCGGCUCAACUGGGGAGGGUCACGCGAUACUGAUCGACUCGAAGGCAGGAGAGGGUAGUGGAAUUCCCGGUGUAGUGGUGAAAUGCGUAGAUAUCGGGAGGAACACCAGUGGCGAAGGCGACUACCUGGCCUGUUUCUUGACGCUGAGGCGCGAAAGCUAGGGGAGCGAACAGG
rnacentral:rRNA from 1 species